rnacentral:rRNA from 1 species
AUGAAGAUCGGCCCGUAUGGCGGCCCAGGAGGUAAUCACUGGGACAUUAAUGCUCUCAAUCCGCCCAAAAGGCUUGUGAGCAUCCAGAUUUGGAGCACUGAUUCCUCCUGCGAAGGGGCCGGCGGGGUCGUCAACGGCAUCUCGUUCAGCUAUCUUGACAUGGCAGGGCAACUAAUCCCCUCGGGUCCAUGGGGCUCCCAGACCGGUAAACCCCACGUGAUUAACAUUGGUGAAGACGAGCGCCUGAUCACUGUCUACGGCACCAGCGAUGGCAAGUUUGUCACCUCGCUUAAAUUUGUCACUGACCGGGCUUCUGAUCCGUAUGGGCCAUACGGGGCACCGUCUACCAUAAGUACUUUCAGCUUCCAGGGCGGCUCCAUCCUCGCCUUCUUGGGCCGCUCCUCAGAGAAACUCAAUGCCAUCGGCGCCUACAAACUUGGGGUUUGA